GUGGGGAAUAUUGGACAAUGGGCGAAAGCCUGAUCCAGCCAUGCCGCGUGUGUGAAGAAGGUCUUCGGAUUGUAAAGCACUUUAAGUUGGGAGGAAGGGCAGUAAGUUAAUACCUUGCUGUUUUGACGUUACCGACAGAAUAAGCACCGGCUAACUUCGUGCCAGCAGCCGCGGUAAUACGAAGGGUGCAAGCGUUAAUCGGAAUUACUGGGCGUAAAGCGCGCGUAGGUGGUUUUGUAAGUUGGAGGUGAAAUCCCCGGGCUCAACCUGGGAACUGCCUCCAAAACUGCAUGACUGGAGUACGGUAGAGGGUAGUGGAAUUUCCUGUGUAGCGGUGAAAUGCGUAGAUAUAGGAAGGAACACCAGUGGCGAAGGCGACUACCUGGACUGAUACUGACACUGAGGUGCGAAAGCGUGGGGAGCAAACAGGAUUAGAAACCCUUGUAGUCC
rnacentral:rRNA from 1 species